UGCCGCGUGAGUGAUGAAGGCCUUCGGGUUGUAAAGCUCUUUUGUCAGGGACGAUAAUGACGGUACCUGACGAAUAAGCUCCGGCUAACUUCGUGCCAGCAGCCGCGGUAAUACGAAGGGAGCUAGCGUUGUUCGGAAUUACUGGGCGUAAAGGGCGCGUAGGCGGUCUUAUAAGUUUGGUGUGAAAGCCCUGGGCUUAACCUAGGAAUAGCAUUGGAUACUGUAAGACUUGAGACCGAGAGAGGGAAAUGGAAUUGCGAGUGUAGAGGUGAAAUUCGUAGAUAUUCGCAAGAACACCAGUGGCGAAGGCGAUUUCCUGGCUCGGUACUGACGCUNANGCGCGAAAGCGUGGGGAGCAAACAGGAUUAGAUACCCUGGUAGUCCACGCUGUAAACGAUGAAUGCUAGAUGUUGGGGAUUAAAAUCUUCAGUGUCGUCGCUAACGCAAUAAGCAUUCCGCCUGGGGAGUAC
rnacentral:rRNA from 1 species